GGUACAAAUUUCGGAACGAAAUUUCUUUUAAGGGGGAUAGUAUAUCAUACCCCGACUUUUAAUCCCUGAUUAAGGGCUUUAUUAUUAAUAAUUAGGGUUCGGCAUCCAUUAAUAAUAAAAACUGGUUUGAUUAUCUGAUGUGAUUUAAUCAUUAUAUAUGUGUUUUAAUGUGCUUAGUUAAAGGAAAAUUUUUAUAAAUGUGGUGCAUAAGUUUUAAUUGGUGAGUUAAGUGUAUUUAUAUGAGCCACAUGAAUUUUAAAUUAUGCAUGAAGUCAUGAAUUUUAUCUAAAUUUGAUAGUACAUGUAACACCCCGUACUUUUCCCUAUGUUGUGAGAUAGUGUCUUAACACUAUUGAGAAUAUUGAGAUGUCAGAGAGAUUGACUGUCCUAUUAAGAAAAUAGGAAUAAUGAGUUGGAAAUAGAGUCGAGAAAGAAAGAGUGAAAAACCUUGAUAAAAAAAAAACUUGAUAAAAAAAAAAUCGGUCGGAGAGACGUCUAGUUUGUCUGUGUUUACCGACUGCUUUGACGUGAUAUUAUGUGAAAUUACGUGACUGAUUGAUUAUGUGAGUUUUGUUACGUAUGUCAUUGUGAGCAAGUUAUUAUGAUUUUUAUUUGAUAACCUUAGCACUUGGAAUUUUAAUUAAGUUUUCAAAGCAAGUGCAAUUUAUUUUUACCGAGAAAUCAAAGAAUGUCGGUUUAUGAAAAUUUUU
rnacentral:lncRNA from 1 species